CCUACGGGGGGCAGCAGUGGGGAAUUUUGGACAAUGGGCGCAAGCCUGAUCCAGCUAUUCCGCGUGUGGGAAGACGGCCUUCGGGUUGUAAACCACUUUUGUAGAGAACGAAAAGUCUGUUGAUAAUACCGAUAGAUGAUUACGGUACUCUAAGAAUAAGCACCGGCUAAAUACGUGCCCGCAGCCGCGGUAAGACGUAGGGUGCGAGCGUUAAUUGGAAUUAAUGGGCGUAAAGGGUGUGCAGGCGGUUUUGCAAGAUGGAUGUGAAAGCCCCGGGCUUAACCUGGGAAAGCCAUACAUGACUGCAAGACGAGAGUGCGGUAGAGGGAGGUGGAAUGCAAAGUGUAGCAGUGAAAUGCUUAGAUAUUUGGAAGAACACCGAUGGCGAAGGCAGCCCCCUGGGACGCAACUGACGCUCAUACACGAAAGCGUGGGGAGCAAACAGGAUUAGAUACCCCAGUAGUC
rnacentral:rRNA from 1 species